UGUAAUGUUGAGAUGAAUGCAUGUGGUGGAAGAACGUUACCAAAAGAAAAAGGGCUUGAUAAUUAGUACUUAAGCAACGCAAUGAGGUACCAACCACUUCCCGGUGAACCUCCGCCUCCGCCUCCGCCAGAGUACGGGCAGCCGCCACCUCCACCUCCACCUCCACCCCCACCAGAGUACGCGCCACCGCCACCUCCACCAGAGUACGUGCCACCGCCGCCACCUCCACUGGAGUACGGGCGACCACCACCUCCCCCAGCGUAUGCGCCACCGCCGCCACCACCAGACUACCCUCCCCCUCGUCCUCCUCCUGGCCCUCCACCACCUGGCUAUCAGGGUUACUUUUAUCCUCCGCCGCCGCCAACCCCGACCCCACCACCGCAGCCUUCAGUACAAGACAAUGAUGGCCCUGGCUGCUGUUCAAUCCUUAGAGGCUGGUAUGUACACGCUCACCCUCUCCCUACUGCUCUCACUUGCUAGCUUCCAGUUUCUUCCAUUAAUAGUUUGAUCAUAUCACGUUUUGCAGGAACUGAGUAAUCGUGUGUUUUACUCUUUUGCUCUUUUGUAUUUCUCUACUUUUUAAGGACAAAAUUAAUCCAAAAUUAAUCUAAUUUCUUGAUGAUAAUCAGCUCCAAACUUAUAAUUUAUAGUAAAAACUGAAAUUAUUUUCCAAUUGACACUAGGAUUAACUAUAACAAUAUAACAAGUUUUCAUUUUCUCAUUGCUUAUGAGUCGAUGACAAUCAGAUUUUAUUAAUUUUUAUUUCUAUUUUCAUCCAGUUCCUUAGCUUAAUCUAAAUUAUUAGAACUUUGGUGCAUAUCUAGUGUGACGUCUGCAAUUAAGCUUCUACUUUUAAAUGCCUAAAUUCUAGAUUGUAGGACGGUAAAUCUACUUUUUGGCUUCCUUAGUUUGUUCUUGUUCCACUGCUUCACCUUCACUGACCCCUUGUGUCUUGUAUACAUCGUUUUCAGUUUGGCUGCAAUUUGUUGCUGCUGGAUAUUGGACGCGUGCUGCCCUUAGGCCAUUUACAUACAUCUGCUCGACAAGCAUUCGUAUUAAUAAUAAUUAGUAUUGUUGAACUCAAUUACUUAUUUGAGGAGAGCGGAAACUCCUUACUCCCUACGUACUGCAUAAUUAAUCGCAGUGUUAAAAGCAAACUUAGCUAAUCGAUGGGCUACUCAUUGCAACGACGACACGAAACAUACUCAAAUUUCACCUCGUGUAAUUGAGCAGCCCACACCUUUGCGUCCUCGAUCAAAACACGUAGAGCAGAGGGAUCAUGCUCACUUCUCAGAUGGUAAGGCCUGCAGCUCUUCCGACCCCAAAAGAAAAACAAGGGCGGCUUUCUUAGCGGCUGGCAUGCCUGAUUUCUGAAACGCUAUUCUUGUUCUUUCAAUUCGAUGCAUUUAGGUUAUGUGACACUUUCGUAUACAAUACAAGAAGCUGGGCCAAGAUGGGCUAAACGGCCUUGGGAUCUUUGAUUGAAAUAAAUUGGUUGGUUUUGGUGUUCAUUCUUCUUUAGAGUGAUUUUCUGCUGAGCGCUCAUUUGUGUCUGAAAUUUGUUUUAUUCAUCCGAUUCUAAGACGUCCUUCUUGUUGUUUACAUACAUGAUACAUACAAACAAAGAAACAAAUCAAAGCCAAACUACGGAAACAAAAUCUGGAAAGGAAGAUGACGAUCUUAAAUAUCCAAAACGUGAAAUCUUCCUUGUAGUUGUUCUAGCCAGGAACCGGCUGCACUUGCUGCACCGCAUUCCCAGCAGUUCUGAAAUCUGCUACAGAUUCGAAGAUGUGAUGGGAUGCCUUGUCGAAAUUAACAAAACCCAUAAACCAGAAUUCAUGGCCAUCUGUGGUGGCGAUCUGAAUGUACUUCUCCGGCGGAUUCUCUUUCGUCACCACAGGGUUCACGGUGCUUAUAUUUCCCAAAGGUAUAGACACCUGUUCAACAUUAAUACAGUUUUACAAUCAACUCAAAUUACAAAGUUGAAUCGCGACAACUGAAACUUUACAACCAUAGUAAAACAUGGCUCAAAUUAUAGAGUAAAACCAUGAUUGGACAGUUAAUUUAAAGUUAUUUACCUUGUAGUAACUCCAAGCUGCUUGUCCAGACGGAGAAGUAAAAGUCAGAGGACGAUCGCUGCAAAAAGCCAGUCUAGCAGUCGACAGAUACUGAGUCCCGGCAACCGGCCCCGUCGACGUCGAAAGAUAACAGGCAAACGUCUUCUUCAACUUCUCGUUCGGGUCAGUCGCGAAAAUCUGCUUAAACAGCGACUCGAAUCCGCCUUCGGAUAAGGCUUUCGCCGUCAAGUUCACCUUCCCCCACGCCGCUUCCGGAACAGAGUGCCCCGUUUUGAGGUUGUACCAGAUGUUCCUGGCCAUGGUCUCCGCCUUAGCGCUCCAGGAAUUGAACGCUUGGAUAACCGGCUCAAAGGGGUUGUUGGUGUGUUUGUCGAUCGGAGAGUGCUGGACGUAGGGCUGCUGCUGGGGGAUUUGCUGGUGGUCGGCGGCUUUCCAUAGGGCGGCUUGCUGGUUGUCUGGGUGGACGUUCGGGGCUGCUGGGGUGCCCAUGAUGUGGGUCCCCCAUUUCUUAGUGUCCUCCGCCUCUGGUGGUGGUGGUUGCUGAGGGGGUUGUUCGGAAUGGGGGUGAGUGUCCUCCGCCUCUGGUGGUGGUGGUUGCUGAGGGGGUUGUUCGGAAUAGGGGUGAGUGUCCUCCGCCUCUGGUGGUGGUGGUUGCUGAGGGGGGUGUUCGGAAUGGGGGUGAGUUUGUUCAGGUGUAGCUGCCAUGGUAAAUUGGACGGAGAUUGGAGGUAGAGUUGUAGUGUGGAGAUGAUGAUGAAUCGAGGAUAUUUGUUUGGAUUUUGGAUUGAAAAGGAGGGUUUUAUAGAGGAAGAUUGAAGAUUUUGGAUGAUGAGACGUGAAAAGGAUGACAGACAGACGCGGGUUUUUGUGAUAUUUUGAGGCAUUCGUUUUUUAUUGGGUUAUUUUGGUAAUUUGCAAGGGCAAAGGAUGCUUCGAGUUCCCCGUAACACGAUUAGUUCGUCCUACCGACUCACCGUCAUAGCAUUUGUGAUAAUCUUAAGACUAAUAUUUCUAUUCGGAUAUUUUCACUUACGUCAUAUGCCAAAUUGAAUUACAAAAAAAUCAACAUGGAUAAUUGUUGUAUACAGCCGCUUACGAUUAAACAACUUUUGAGUUCGAAUAUUAUAAUUGAAACGUUUAUUACCAUUGUCUAAAAUUAUAUUUAUAAAAAGUUUAUUCAGUUUGAAAAUUAUUUAUUUUUGGGUGUUAAAUGGUAAUAAUUUUAAUCAAGUAACAUAUUUAUAACGAAACGUUUAAUUGUUUUAUGAAUAUGUAUGAUUAAAAAAUCUUUAAACUGAAUAAUUUUUUCUUUGAAUUGUAUAAUUUUUAAAUAUAAUAUUUAUAAAUAAUAAUUAAAAAAUAAACAAUUUAAAUUAGGAAAAAUUACACAUAAAGUAUACUUUUAAUACCUAAUUUUGUAUUGAGACAACACCUCUUAAACAUUUUAAGAAGAGACAAAAAUUAAUACAUAUAAAAGAUGACAUCUUUGAUUUUUUUUUUUGAAGUGUAACUUACAAAAAUAUCCUUUAUCAUGAUAAUAUUUUCACAAUUCUAUCAUGUUGCUCCUUCUCUCUUUCUUUGCAAUUCUGUCACGCGUCGUCGCCUUCGCAUCCAAAACCCAUCGCCUCCUCCCCCAAACCCUCACUCCUGGCGAUGAAGGACUGGCCACCUUCCUCGUAUGGUUCCGUCUACAUCCCUCCCCACCACCGCCUCUGUUCCGCUAUCACCACCCCCAAUUAUACCUCCUAUGCUUCCAUCGGCUCUAAACUUUUUUUGACAGCGGCUUUCCCAGAAAUUUUUGAUGGGGUUGUUUGCGCGCGAUUGCCAAGUGCUAAUCCCGAUUUCGAACAAAGGCUUUUGUACGGUAAAUGCCUUUUUCUAUGGCUAUCUGCCACCUUAACAUCUUAGCAUAUCAGGCUAUAUGCCUUUCUGUGAUACAAUACAUACUUCGGAUGAUGACAUCUGCCAUCUUAACAUCUGAGGGGAUAAACUUGAAAAGAUGCAUAUAGGGAGUGAUGCCCGUGUGCAGGGUGGAGGGUAGAUGGGCGGAGGAGAGGGACAGAGAAUAGAUUGCAUUAAUUGUUAUCUAUAUUUCCGCUUGUCUUCCUAAUGUUUCUCAUCUCGAAGUAUAAAUCUCACCAAAAGUAUGAAGCAAUUGACUUAAAAAGAUGAAUUUAGACGCAUGAUAUGGGAUUGAAUGCAUGAAUAAUUAAUGAUUAUGCAUGUUUCUUGAAAAAUUGUUUUAGCUCAACUUUGUUGCUGUAUUGUUGUAUAGGGUUUUAGGGUGAUCUGCCCUUUAUGGUCGUAGACGGGUUGAACUGAUUUUGUAAAAAUGGUCGUAAAUGGGUUGAACUGAUUCUCCAACAAUAGUUGAGGGAUGAUUGAACUGAUUCUGUAAAAAAUAGUUAAGGACCAAUUGAAUUGAUUAUGCAAAAAUGGUCAAAGAUGGGUGAACUGAUUUUGCAAAAAUGGACGAGGACGAGUUGAACUGAUUCUGCAAAAAUAGGCGAAUAUUGCUUGAACUGAUUUUGAAAAAAUGAUCGAAUACGAAUUGAACUGAUUCUGCAAAAAAUGAUCGAUGAUUGAUUGAACUGAUUUUGCAAAAAUAGUCGAUGAUUGAUUGAACUGAUUCUGCAUAAAUAGUCAAGGAUGGGUUGAACUUAUGCCACAUAUUAAUUUUUGUUGGAUGGUUGGGUUAUAUUAAUAACCCUAAAGCCUUAAGGGGUAUGGUUGGUAUUUUUUAAAACAUUAUUUUCAUGUUUUUGAAUUGAGUUUUAGUUAUAUUUAUAUUUUUAUGGCUCAUUAAAAUGUUUAAAUUUUAAGGACAUUAGAAAACAAGUAAGUCCCUAUGAAUAUUAUCUAAAAAUAAUAUCUUUAAUUAUUUUACCAAGAAAGUAACGAUGAAAACAAAAAAUGGUUUUUUUUUCCUGCAAUACAACACCUAUCAUAGAAUAAGUGAAAAUAAUGCAUAUAGAUCAAGACAACGGUUUGUGCCACUGUUUUCCACUUUUUAUAUAUUUAUUGUACGAGUAAUUAAGUUGAUUAAAUUUUUUAAAAUUAAAUUGCAAGCAACCCCUUCUCCGUUAUAUAUUAGGCAGCUGCCACGUUGCGAUCUUUUAAAAAAAAAGUAUUGCGAGGAGGGUGACAGUUGGAGAAGUAUGCCUUGGCCAAGUGUCAAACUUUUUUCAACCGACUGAUGACAUUGACACCUAGGGGAAUGAAAUGAACCCUUCCAAAUUCCAAUCCAACUGAUAUUUCCUGAAAGUUGUAUUUUUAUUAGUCUCAUUCAAACAGGGCAAAAGAACGAAGCUUCUUUGCAGUUUCCUCUACGUACGCCAAUCAACGUUAUUAUACGAGUGAGUCGGAGAAUUAGGAUAAUUGGCGCGCUCGGAUAAACGUUUGCAUUAACUGGAUCGACGUAACGUAAGAUCCCAACUUAGUUUUUAAUUUGAUUAAUUAGAUCCUUAUUCCAAAUAGAAUUUCAUCAAUUGCUAACUAUUUGGAAUUCCUGUCUCGUCAUCUUCUACAGUUGGAUUAAGCAAAAGAAUGAGUUACAACGUUGUCCAUGUUCAACAUGAGCAGCAUCAUCUUCCACCAGGCAAGUCACCUGCUAAUUCCAAAUUAAUUCCCCCCCCCCCGGCCUCACCCCCUUUUAUUUGUGUGAUUUAAUCCAUUAAUUUGUGUGGUUUGUUUGGUUUAACUGACUGAAUUAGUUGGUUUAAUUUUAAAAUUCUUUGGUGGUGGUUGUGACGAUGGAAUUUCAGGGUAUCCGCAAGAGUAUCCUCCCCCGCCUAAUGACUUUCCACCUCCACCGCCAC
rnacentral:lncRNA from 1 species